GAUGAAGAACGCAGCGAAAUGCGAUACGUAGUGUGAAUUGCAGAAUUCAGUGAAUCAUCGAAUCUUUGAACGCACAUUGCACCUCUCGGUAUUCCGGGAGGUAUGCCUGUUCGAGCGUCAUUUGUACCCUCAAGCUCGGCUUGGUGUUGGGUGUUUGUUCCGCCUCUGUGUGUGAACUCGCCUCAAAACAAUUGGCAGCCGGCGUACUUGUUUCGGAGCGCAGCACAUUUUGCGAUCCAGAUCAACGUACAGCGGCAUCCAAGAAGCCUUAUUUAACGCUCUUGACCUCGGAUCAGGUAGGGAUACCCGCUGAACUUAAGCAUAUCAAUAAGCGGAGGA
rnacentral:misc_RNA from 1 species